rnacentral:rRNA from 1 species
UCCGGAGGGUGCAAGCGUUAUCCGGAUUCACUGGGUUUAAAGGGUGCGUAGGCGGUCAGGUAAGUCCGUGGUGAAAUCUCUGAGCUUAACUCAGAAACUGCCAUGGAUACUAUUUGUCUUGAAUAUUGUGGAGGUAAGCGGAAUAUGUCAUGUAGCGGUGAAAUGCUUAGAUAUGACAUAGAACACCAAUUGCGAAGGCAGCUUACUACACAGUUAUUGACGCUGAGGCACGAAAGCGUGGGGAUCAAACAGG